rnacentral:ncRNA from 1 species
ACGGACCAGACUCCUACGGGAGGCAGCAGUAAGGAAUAUUGGUCAAUGGGCGGAAGCCUGAACCAGCCAUGCCGCGUGCAGGAUGACUGCCCUAUGGGUUGUAAACUGCUUUUGUCCAGGAAUAACCCCAGGUACGUGUACCUGGCUGAAUGUACUGGAAGAAUAAGGAUCGGCUAACUCCG